rnacentral:pre_miRNA from 1 species
AAUGGGAUAGCUGAGUCAAAUGGUCAUUCCAUUCUAACUUUUUUAAGGAAUCUCCAUAAUACUUUCCAGAUUGGUUGCACCAAUUUGCAGUACCACUAGCAAU